UACGAAGGGGGCUAGCGUUGCUCGGAAUCACUGGGCGUAAAGGGCGCGUAGGCGGCCAUUCAAGUCGGGGGGGUAAGCCUGUGGCUCAACCACAGAAUUGCCUUCGAUACUGUUUGGCUUGAGUCUGGUAGAGGUUGGUGGAACUGCGAGUGUAGAGGUGAAAUUCGUAGAUAUUCGCAAGAACACCAGUGGCGAAGGCGGCUCACUGGCCCGAUACUGACGCUGAGGCACGAAAGCGUGGGGAGCAAACAGG
rnacentral:rRNA from 1 species